rnacentral:rRNA from 1 species
UCUCAGUUCGGAUCGCAGUCUGCAACUCGACUGCGUGAAGGUGGAGUCGCUAGUAAUCGCGGAUCAGCAACGCCGCGGUGAAUGCGUUCCCGGGCCUUGUACACACCGCCCGUCAAGUCAUGAAAGUGGGCAGCACCCGAAGACGGUGGCCUAACCCUUGUGGGGGGAGCCGUCUAAGGUGAGGCUCGUGAUUGGGACUAAGUCGUAACAAGGUAAC